rnacentral:rRNA from 1 species
AUUGGCGGAUGCAUUAGGCAUGCAGUCGAGGGAGAACCCGCAAGGGGGACACCGGCGAUCGGGGUAGGAAUACAUAGGUAACGUACCCUCAGGACGGGGAUAGCCAAGGGAAACUUUGGGUAAUACCCGAUGUGAUGUCAGGAUGUGAAUGCCUGCCAUCAAAGGUGAGAUUCCACCUGAGGAGCGGCUUAUGCAUCAUUAGCUUGUUGGCGGGGUAACGGCCCACCAAGGCUGCGAUGAUUAGGGGGUGUGAGAGCAUGGCCCCCACCACUGGCACUGAGACACUGGCCAGACACCUACGGGUGGCUGCAGUCGAGAAUCUUCGGCAAUGGGCGAAAGCCUGACCGAGCGAUGCCGCGUGCGGGAUGAAGGUCUUCGGAUUGUAAACCGCUGUCGGAGGGGAUGAGGUGUAUGGGAGCAAUCUCCUGUAUUUGACAGAGCCUCGGAGGAAGCACGGGCUAAGUUCGUGCCAGCAGCCGCGGUAAUACGAACUGUGCAAACGUUAUUCGGAAUCACUGGGCUUACAGGGUGCGUAGGCGGCAUUUUAAGUCAGGUGUGAAAUCCCCCGGCUCAACCGGGGAACUGCGCCUGAGACUGGAUUGCUCGAGUGAGGCAGGGGUGUACGGAACUUCCGGUGGAGCGGUGAAAUGUGUAGAUAUCGGAAGGAACGCCAGCAGCGAAAGCGGUACACUGGGCCUUG